rnacentral:lncRNA from 1 species
GAGGACUUGCUGACCAUUCGAUGGUAGCCUUUUUGGCAGGAGGUCACUAUUUGGCAUUGUCAGGCCUUUCGGGGUAGACAAUUGUCGCCACUUAGACCUUGUCAGGCCCUUCGGGGUAGGCAAGUGUCAUCUUUAAGACUUCGUCAGGCCCUUCGUGGUAGGCAAUGAUCGACACUUUAAACUUCGUCAGGCCCUUCGUGGUAGGCGAAUGUUAUCUUGUAGUUCUGUUAGGCCUUUCGGGGUAAACAAACUCCCAAUAAAGCAGAUGUCUCGCACUUCCGUAACUUGAUAAGUAUCUCUUUACUUUAUUACCUGAGUUUUCUCUAAGUGUUGAGUUCAGAAUGCCUCGUUCUUUAAACUUAUCUCAUCUGUUAUAUGACAUGCUUAAUCAUUUGAAGUUAAAUCCUCGAAGGGGUUUUUUGUACACUUUUCCAUAUAAAUUUAUAUUGAAGUAUUGACAUAAAAUAAAAAGUGCACUGAAGUCAUAAGGAAGGAAAUCAUUUCUCAUUAAUAUUUAAGUUCAUUUACAAAUAAGGAAAUAACAUAAAAUUUUUACAAAUAUUCAUAAUAAGACCGAAGACAAUCCAUAAGC